AUCGGUGACAGGUGGUGGCAUGGUUGUCGUCAGCUCGUGUCGUGAGAUGUUGGGUUAAGUCCCGCAACGAGCGCAACCCCUAUUGUUAGUUGCCAUCAUUCAGUUGGGCACUCUAGCGAGACUGCCGGUAAUAAACCGGAGGAAGGUGGGGGAGUGACGUCAAAUCAUCAUGCCCCUUACUUGACCUGGGCUACACACGUGCUACAAUGGUUGGUACAACGAGUUGCGAGUCGGUGACGGCGAGCUAAUCUCUUAAAGCCAAUCUCAGUUCGGAUUGUAGGCUGCAACUCGCCUACAUGAAGUCGGAAUCGCUAGUAAUCGCGGAUCAGCACGCCGCGGUGAAUACGUUCCCGGGCCUU
rnacentral:rRNA from 1 species